AGUGGCGGACGGGUGAGUAACGCGUGGGUAACCUGCCCUGUACAGGGGGAUAACAGUCAGAAAUGACUGCUAAUACCGCAUAAGACCACAGCACCGCAUGGUGCAGGGGUAAAAACUCCGGUGGUACAGGAUGGACCCGCGUCUGAUUAGCUAGUUGGUGGGGUAACGGCCUACCAAGGCGACGAUCAGUAGCCGGCCUGAGAGGGUGAACGGCCACAUUGGGACUGAGACACGGCCCAA
rnacentral:rRNA from 1 species